rnacentral:rRNA from 1 species
AGAGUUUGAUCCUGGCUCAGGAUGAACGCUGGCGGCGUGCUUAACACAUGCAAGUCGAGCGAACAAAGCGGGAGGGAGUCUUCGGACAAAGCCCCGCUGCGUGAGCGGCGGACGGGUGAGUAACACGUGGGCAACCUGCCCUAUGCACAGGGAUAACGCACCGAAAGGUGUGCUAAUACCGGAUAAAGCGAGAUUCCGCAUGGACGACUCGCCAAAGCUUUUGCGGCAUAGGAUGGGCCCGCGUCCCAUUAGCUAGUUGGUGAGGUAACGGCUCACCAAGGCUGCGAUGGGUAGCCGACCUGAGAGGGUGAUCGGCCACACUGGAACUGAGACACGGUCCAGACUCCUACGGGAGGCAGCAGUGGGGAAUAUUGCACAAUGGGCGAAAGCCUGAUGCAGCAACGCCGCGUGAGCGAUGAAGGCCUUCGGGUCGUAAAGCUCUGUCCCAAGGGAAGAUAAUGACGGUACCUUGGGAGGAAGCCCCGGCUAACUACGUGCCAGCAGCCGCGGUAAUACGUAGGGGCAAGCGUUAUCCGGAAUCACUGGGCGUAAAGGGUGCGUAGGCGGUCUUGCAAGCCAGAGGUGAAAGGCUAUGGCUCAACCAUAGUGAGCCUUUGGAACUGCCGGACUUGAGUACAGGAGAGGAAAGUGGAAUUCCUAGUGUAGCGGUGAAAUGCGUAGAUAUUAGGAGGAACACCAGUGGCGAAGGCGACUUUCUGGACUGUUACUGACGCUGAGGCACGAAAGCGUGGGGAGCGAACAGGAUUAGAUACCCUGGUAGUCCACGCCGUAAACGAUGAGUGCUAGGUGUCGGGGGUCAAACCUCGGUGCCGCAGCUAACGCAUUAAGCACUCCGCCUGGGGAGUACGCUCGCAAGAGUAAAACUCAAAGGAAUUGACGGGGACCCGCACAAGCAGCGGAGCAUGUGGUUUAAUUCGAAGCAACGCGAAGAACCUUACCUGGACUUGACAUCCCUUUGACCGCUUCGUAACGGAAGCUUUCCCUUCGGGGACAAAGGAGACAGGUGGUGCAUGGUUGUCGUCAGCUCGUGUCGUGAGAUGUUGGGUUAAGUCCCGCAACGAGCGCAACCCCUAUCUUUAGUUGCCAGCACCUAGGGUGGGCACUCUAGAGAGACUGCCGAGGACAACUCGGAGGAAGGUGGGGAUGACGUCAAAUCAUCAUGCCCCUUAUGUUCAGGGCUACACACGUGCUACAAUGGGCGGUACAACGGGUUGCGAGCUCGCGAGAGCAAGCCAAUCCCUUAAAGCCGUUCUCAGUUCGGAUUGCAGGCUGAAACUCGCCUGCAUGAAGUCGGAGUUGCUAGUAAUCGCGGAUCAGAAUGCCGCGGUGAAUGCGUUCCCGGGUCUUGUACACACCGCCCGUCACACCAUGGGAGUCGGGGGCGCCCGAAGUCAGCUGUCCAACCGCAAGGGGGAGGCUGCCGAAGGUGAAACUGAUGACUGGGGUGAAGUCGUAACAAGGUA